GGUCAAAUAUCUUCCAUUUAAUUUGUGUUCCUUUUAGUCCAACUUGUACAAGUAAAAGACUAAUCGUGUAUUUCUUUGUGUAGUUCUGCAUACCUAAGAGCAUUGGUAUCUUCAGCAACGUUGAAACUUUAGAGCUGUGUUUCUCUCAAAGAAUGGAAUUUGACGCCUUGAAGGUGAUAGCUAUUCUCAAAGGCUUUCCCCUUUUAAAGAAAUUUUAUAUGAUGAUGCCAUGCCCAAAUGACUUUGAACGAGGAAUGCUUGAGCCUAACGAAAAUGUCCAUGAACUUGAACUUGAACAUGAACAUUUGAAGGAAGUUCAUCUUGCUGAAUUUUAUGACACCCCAAGUCAAAUUAAUUUUUCUAUUUAUUUGAUCAAACAUGCUUGUGCUCUUAAGGAGGAAUGCUUGUACCAUCCUUGUCACCAAGCACGCCAACUGUAUCGCCACCAUAUAGAACAACUCCUCCACCUCUGACUAUUCAAGGACAUGUACCAUCCAUACUGCCAAGUCCUUCACCAGUUAAGAAGACUGCUGCAUCAAUGCCACUUGCUGCUCCAGGUAAACUUAUGGACCUAGUGAUGGUGUCUCAAGUUUUAACAAUUCUCUGGAAUUGGAUUGAGGGCUUGGCAGUGUCCAGCGAAGCAAUCAGUUGAAUCACGUAGAAGUAUGUAACCAAAACUUUGUCUUUGACAGAAUUGGAAAAAUCUUGUUGUGCCUUUUUUAGUUACCAUGUGAAUAGAAAGUGUUGUCUCCACUAGGGGGAGAAUGAUGCUGGAAACGUGAAGAUAAUUUUAUUUUAAUUUAGUUUUAUUUUAGAAUUCAUUUGAAUUUUAUUCAUUUGCUAGAGUCAAGGUUAUUUUUUGUAUUUAUAGUAUUCUUCAUAAAUACACUAUUGUACU